rnacentral:lncRNA from 1 species
GCCCGACGAAAUCCUGCGAAGGAAGUGAGUACUGAGGCGGGCGAAGAAAACAUCUCCAAUUAUAUGCCGUCGAUGACAUCCUGACCCUUCUUCCCCACGUGACGGUGGUGGGAAACAAUUUCAAGUAAGAACAGUGUGGAUAUAGUGGGAAGUAUUAACGGUGAGGAGUUGGCUGCUGUAGGAGGAAAUCAGCUGUGCGUGCAUAGUAUGUGAGCAGCCCCACCGUGGAGGAGGAUUGUGGGUGAGCCAGGACCAGUGAGCGAGAGAAGACGUUGGGGUGUCGUGGCGGCGACGUUUAAAUCUGAAUAUUCGUUGCAUCAGUGUCUCCACGAUUUCCAGGACGAGUCUUUGGUCAGACGGGGUUUUGACCCUAAAUUCACCAAGAGUGUGUGGAGUGCAGUGGGUGAGUCUUUGUCCUUUGCUGUGAGUGUAUACACUUGAAACUUUCAGUGUUGUGCUGUGUUUGUGUCGUCAACAACCACCUUUCAGGCCCGACGAAAUCCUGGAAGGAAGUGAGUACUGAGGCGGGCGAAGAAAACAUCUCCAAUUAUAUGCCGUCGAUGACAUCCUGACCCUUCUUCCCCACGUGACGGUGGCGGGAAACAAUUUCAAAUCUCUUGCCCUGUCGGUUGGAAGAAGAAGAGGGAAGCGUUCGACCCAUUCAGUGUAGCACACCCCGGGUGAAACAACUUACCUGUGUGUGACACCAGUGGAGGCCGUGUUCGGCCCAACGCAGCAGCAGCUUUCGAUCCGCAUCUCUAUCAGCAGUUGGUUGAAGCCUCAGAAAAGGAAUGCCUGACGUCUAUUUCCUCAAAGAUCUAGCGGGUCCCUUUGAAGCGUCUACCUGCACGUUGACCCGUCACUCAGGAUACCAGAAACCCGGAAACCCCCCCCGUACACUUACCAGUAUGGUUUCAGUUGGAUCCCGGCAGCCAUUGUGCAGCUCCACCAGCAUCUGGACGACCGGGAGUCCAACCCGCUGGGCCGCCUCGGAGUUCGCCAUGAGUAGCAGCAGGUAUCCAUCGUGCAUUCAAACUCUCAAUACGUACCACUUAUAUCUGUUACGUCCAGGAAAGGAGAGGGCCCUGGACAGUCGUCCUGCAAGCCAGAACAAAGGGGCACUUGUGAAUAAGCUGAUUGUCGUCACAUAGCCAGAAGGAAAGAGGAGUGAAGGACUCACCUGAGAUCUCCCACGACGGAGUCUAAGAGACUCGGACUCACCUGAGAUCUCCCGCGACGGAGUCUAAGAGACUCGAGACUGUUACUCUCCAAUUGGAGAGUUGGAUUUUAGCCUCCCUUCCCCCCUGCCCCAUACCUUUUUUUUUAGUAAUUUAAUAAAGUUUGUUUUAAUAUUUACUUACCGUCUCUCAUGUGUCUGGUCAUUGGGGUGUUCUUGGGACUUCCUCGAGGUGGAAACUAGGAAGGGGCGUGACUCAUGACAUCUGUAGUCCGCUCCGACCUGUGACAUACACAUUCCAAAAAAGUUGGGACGGGUAGUAAUAAGAGGCCAGAAAAGUUAAAUUUACAUAUAAGGAACAGUUGGAGGACCAAUUUGCAACUUAUUAGGUCAAUUGGCAACAUGAUUGGGUAUAAAAAGAGCCUCUCAGAGUGGCAGUGUCUCUCAGAAGUGAAGAUGGGCAGAGGAUCACCAAUUCCCCCAAUGCUGCGGCGAAAAAUAGUGGAGCAAUAUCAGAAGGAGUUUCUGAGAGAAAAAUUGCAACGAGUUUGACGUUAUCAUCAUCUACAGUGCAUAAUAUCAUCCAGAGAUUCAGAGAAUCUGGAACAAUCUCUGUGCGUAAGGGUCAAGGCCGGAAAACCAUACUGGAUGCCCGUGAUCUUCGGGCCCUUAGACGGCACUGCAUCA